rnacentral:rRNA from 1 species
CCCUUGAGAGUGGCGAACGGGUGAGUAAUAUAUCGGAACGUGCCCAGUCGUGGGGGAUAACGUAGCGAAAGUUACGCUAAUACCGCAUACGAUCUACGGAUGAAAGCGGGGGAUCGCAAGACCUCGCGCGAUUGGAGCGGCCGAUAUCAGAUUAGGUUGUUGGUGAGGUAAAAGCUCACCAAGCCGACGAUCUGUAGCUGGUCUGAGAGGACGACCAGCCACACUGGAACUGAGACACGGUCCAGACUCC